UUUCAACAGGACAAAGGCUAAUGUCCCGUUUGUAUAUUCAAACAUUCAGAAACUCUUCAGGAACUAAAGGAAACAGCUGCUUUAAUGUUGAUGACGACUUAUUUUGAAAGUAUCCAGCUGUUUUUCAGAGGAUUUCAAACAGCCAUGUAACCGAUGACGUGACGUCCUGCAGCAGCUCCCCGUCUACCAGCCCCUCUCCAUCCGCAGACUUCCUGUCGCUCUCCGCCGCCGCCGCCUCCUCCUGCUCCUUCACCCCCAGCAGCUCCAGGGUUCGCUGCUUCUCCUGCGACAGCUCCUGAGGGUCAGAAAAAGAUGCAGAUCAGGGGACUGAGCCGUGCCGUCCAGGUCUCUGCCAUCAACACAGGACAGGAGACAAGUCACAUGACCUCACAGGCCUGUACACAGUCAUCAGUGGGUACUCCUGCUUCUCCUUGGCCAGCUGCAGCCCCUGGGCCUCCAGACUCUCGAUCAUGGCCUCCCCCAGCUGGGCGUUCUUCCACGUGCUGUCGGUCCAACACGGACGUCAAGUUACAUUAAAACAAGGCGUCAGAGAGCACGCGGCCGCUCACCUUGGGGUGGAUGUUGAAGAACCUGUUGGUCUCAAAGUUUCUCUUCUCGCUCUCGGCGUAGUAGAGCAAGAAGCUGUCUUUGAUGAUGAAGAACCUUUGUACCGAGGAAGACAAUAAAGCAGCAGUGAGUCAAUCCUGUGGGACUGAAAGGAACCAACGUUCUCCACACAAAUCUGUAUAAUCUUAAUAAUCUAUCCUAAUAAUAUCCUACCUUUUACUUCUGGUUUUACUCACUUUAAUACAUCUCCUCUGUUUUAGUAAUUUAUUAUUUCAUCUUCAUCACUCUAUCGUUAACCUUUUUUGUCCUGAGACAAAUGUAUUUUUGACUCGGUACAUAUCCUCGUCAUAAAUAUUAAAUAACCAAAUAACUGUAAACUCAUUUUAUUUAAAAAUGUUUGUUAUGUAUUUAUGUUCAGAAAAGACAUAUUAACUAAUGUUAAAUCUGAUUUUUAUUAACUCAUAUAUCAGUUUUGGUUUGGGGGUGGGGGGGGCUGAGUCAUGUGCUCCAUGAGGAGUGCACCUGUAAUUUCACUUAUUAAAUAUGCUGCUAUGUUUUGACUCAAGUCAAAAUAGACUUUAUUUGAUUUUAAUCAAACAACAACAACAACAACAACAGACACUAAAUCACAGAGUUCUAUCGUCUCCAGUUUGGCACCAAAAACUAAAUUCUUUUGACCUUUAUGACUCGAGCGAAUGGGAAGGAAGAGUGUGCAGCAGCAAAUGGACUCUCUGGACCGGACUCGCUGUGUAUUGUCGUUUUAACUGUUAUGUAAACUAAGAGCAUUAUCAUGACAUAAGGUGCCAAUCCAGGCACUUUACCAUCCAAAUAUACGGUGCGCUGCCGUCAGGACAUACUGA